GACGAACGCUGGCGGCGUGCUUAACACAUGUAAGUCGAACGGAAAGGCCCUGCUUUUGUGGGGUGCUCGAGUGGCGAACGGGUGAGUAACACGUGAGUAACCUGCCCUUGACUUUGGGAUAACUUCAGGAAACUGGGGCUAAUACCGGAUAGGAGCUCCUGCUGCAUGGUGGGGGUUGGAAAGUUUCGGCGGUUGGGGAUGGACUCGCGGCUUAUCAGCUUGUUGGUGGGGUAGUGGCUUACCAAGGCUUUGACGGGUAGCCGGCCUGAGAGGGUGACCGGCCACAUUGGGCCUGAGAUACGGCCCAGACUCCUACGGGAGGCAGCAGUGGGGAAUAUUGCACAAUGGGCGGAAGCCUGAUGCAGCAACGCCGCGUGCGGGAUGACGGCCUUCGGGUUGUAAACCGCUUUCGCCUGUGACGAAGCGUGAGUGACGGUAAUGGGUAAAGAAGCACCGGCUAACUACGUG
rnacentral:rRNA from 1 species